rnacentral:rRNA from 1 species
UAUUAUUUAAAAUGUAAAUAAUAAUACUAAAGUAGUAAUAGUUAUGUUCUUGAAACUUAAAAAAUUUGGCGGUAUUUUAGUCUAUCCAGAGGAACCUGUUUUGUAAUCGAUAAUCCACGAUGGACCUUACUUAAGUUUGUAAUCAGUUUAUAUACCGUCGUUAUCAGAAUAUUUUAUAAGAAUAAAAAUAUUCAAUAAUUUUAAUUAAAAUUUAUAUCAGAUCAAGGUGUAGCUUAUAUUUAAGUAAUAAUGGGUUACAAUAAAUUUAUUUAAACGAAUUAAAUUAUGAAAAAAUUUUUGAAGGUGGAUUUGGUAGUAAAAUUAUAAAGAUAAAUAAUUUGAUUUUAGCUCUAAAAUAUGUACACAUCGCCCGUCGCUCUUAUUAUUAAGGUAAGAUAAGUCGUAACAUAGUAGAUGUACUGGAAAGUGUAUCUAGAAUGA